rnacentral:rRNA from 1 species
GACAGAGGCCUCAAGCGUUAGGCGGAAUCACUGGGCUUAAAGCGUGUGUAGGCGGGUCGUUAAGUACCUUGUGAAAUCCCACGGCUCACCCGUGGAACUGCUGGGUAUACUGGCGAUCUUGGGCCAACUAGGGGCAACUGGAACAAGCGGUGGAGCGGUGAAAUGCGUAGAUAUCAGGAGGAACACCGAUGGCGAAGGCAGUGGGCUGGGCCGGCACUGACGCUGAGGAGCGAAAGCGUGGGGAGCGAACAGG